GCCCAAGUGGCGGAACUGGCAGACGCGCUAGGUUGAGGGCCUAGUGGCCGCAAGGCCGUGGAGGUUCAAAUCCUCUCUUGGGCA
rnacentral:tRNA from 1 species